rnacentral:lncRNA from 1 species
GAUAACUUUCUGCAUGGGCCACGACCUGCUAUGCUCAAGCUCAAUUCACCACUCCCCAAAAGCAUUAGCGUAAGCUGUGCAUGUGCUUCCUCAUUAAGACUGCCCAUCAAAUUCUUCUUUUCACAACAACAAAAUUAAACAAGACAAGACAAGAUAAGAAAAGUAACAUGAUUUAAGUAAGUGUACAGCCAGAGAAAUCUAGAUAUAUAAAUAGCUCAAUACUGAUUUAUAUCCCACUCCGCAUUAAUGCUGUAUUUAGUAUGAAUAUGACCUUUAUAUUGCCAAGAAAAAGAAAAUGAAAACAAGAGAAGAUCAGUAGUCUAACAACUAAUAUAAACCAGGUAGCAUAGAAUGGUCCCCCAUGCAAAACCUAGGCCCUAGCAGUGUUCAUUUGAGUCUUUAUAAUCCUGAGCAGAGAAUGUUGGUGACUUUGUAUAUGCCUACACAAUUUGAUUCAUUUCACAUAUGAGUUGGAACAUCUUAACAUUUUUCUAAGAUUAUCAAAUGCAUUCUUUGAAGUUACAAGUAACUAGUCAUUAAGCCAAAAUAUAUAAUGCCAGUGAAGAAAAAACCUGGAGUAUUAGCUGGAAUUAAAGCCUUAAAUUCAUAUCAAUUAUAGACUACGUUACCCACCGGCCACCACUACGCCAGCCGCCAGCUGCCGCCCCCCUUACGCCACUGAAGGAAAUUGGAGUCUCAACUGACUCUCAAGUUACAGUACUUACAACUUGUACAAAAUUUAAUUCCAAUCUCAAUUCAAAAAAUGUAUUUGAUACUCAAGACUCGAUAAAUGUAGACUUAAUUAAAUUGAAAAAGAUGUAUUCCGUAUUUGAUACAAUUGAAACUGAGGCAAUUAAUUAAAUUUGACCAAAAUUGAGGCCAACCCUACGUCACUACAAAAGCCAAGUGUUAGGUUAUUGAUAUAGAAAAAGCAUAAGCUACCUCUUGUAUGUAUUACAAAUUUCGACCAUCUGCAAAGCAAAGUUGUACACAAAACCAAAUCAGAUGAACAUACUACUACUUAGUUUUGCAUAUUGCUUUAAAAUCACAUUUUUGGCACCAGAAAGUUAAAAGUUGAAUCCUUCUAACUUAAAUUUUGGUGGAGGAACCUAGAUUUUUGACUCUCGGUUCAUAAUAAUUCACAUCUCUAAAGCAACUAAAGUUCUAAACAUUCUAUGCUUCUCUCUUUUCAUGAUAUAUAAAAAGGAUGUUAGAAAAAGAAAAAUGGCCCAUAAAGUGCAUCGCAAAGCAGUAUUUAAUGGAACAAAUACAACCUAGACAUUAUUGAAAAAGUAAAUCCUCACCGAGACCAGGCGAAAUUGGCUUAGAAGUGUCCAAAUUUGGAUUUUCAUACGUUACUAUUUUACUAUGUGAGAAAUUUCACACCAGGAUUUCUUCCUUUGGACAGAACCUGCAAUGUUGUGCUUUUGGUUAAUGGAUGUUCGAGAGGUCUAAGAGGAAUAGAGGAUUUAUACUUCCAUCCUCCAAUCACACACCAUAAACAAAUGGGAGUAGAGGAAACUCUCUGGCAGCAAAAUCACCCGACAGCAAAGGGUGAACCGCCUUUUUUAUACAAUUCCAUCAACAGAACUAGAUUCAGAACAACAGAUCAAUAAACGACGUAUCAACCCAUUGGACAACUGGAUGUAAUGCAGUUUUCAGAUCAACAAUUUAUUCCCGAAAGGAAUGCCCAGCCGCGUAAGAGAAUUAAACCUGAAUUUCGCAUUCUUUAUGCAUGUUCUUCCAAGGAAGGAGAUGGAAGCAAGAGCUCAUUGUUCUGGAGUCUUAACUUAUCAAUUACUUUAGGUCCCAUUUUCUGGCUUGAAGAGACCUAGUACGGGAACACGCACGUUAAUUGUAUCAGAAAAAUGCAGAGCUGAGAGGUUUCUUUGAACUUCUGUAUGAUUACUCUAAUUGUUAGGGUAGGGAGGAUUUUGUCAGGCUUCCUUUUUUUCCGGAAACACUUGGGAUGCACAGAAACACUUGGGGGCGGAUGUUUUUUUUUUU